rnacentral:lncRNA from 1 species
UAUCCUGAAAAUGAAGACAACUGCCUUCUUCUCACAGAAGAUUGAGCUCAAAGAAUUCAUGAAGACAGAGAAGCUGAGAAGAAGUGGCCUUGGGAAGAAUGACUUCUUGCAGAGCUGCAGUUCUAGCCUGUUAUCCCCUUAAAGAAGCACUUGUCAAGCAGAGUGUGAGAACUUAGACACAGCAACCAGUAGUAGUGAAACAUCAAGUGACCAUGCCUGGAGGUAG